CGGACGGGUGAGUAACGCGUGGGUAACCUGCCUCAUACAGGGGGAUAACAGUUAGAAAUGACUGCUAAUACCGCAUAAGCGCACGGUUUCGCAUGGAACAGUGUGAAGAACUCCGGUGGUAUGGGAUGGACCCGCGUCUGAUUAGCUGGUUGGCGGGGUAACGGCCCACCAAGGCGACGAUCAGUAGCCGGCCUGAGAGGGUGAACGGCCACAUUGGGACUGAGACACGGCCCAAACUCCUACGGGAGGCAGCAG
rnacentral:rRNA from 1 species